rnacentral:rRNA from 1 species
GCAACCUGCCCAAAAGAGGGGGAGUAACACUUGGAAACAGGUGCUAAUACCGCAUAACCAUAGUUACCGCAUGGUAACUAUGUAAAAGGUGGCUAUACUACCGCUUUUGGAUGGGCCCGCGGCGCAUUAGCUAGUUGGUAGGGUAAAGGCUUACCAAGGCAAUGAUGCGUAGCCGAAUUGAGAGGUUGAUCGGCCACAUUGGGACUGAGACACGGCCCAAACUCCUACGGGAGGCAGCAGUAGGGAAUCUUCCACAAUGGGCGAAAGCCUGAUGGAGCAACGCCGCGUGGGUGAAGAAGGUCUUCGGAUCGUAAAACCCUGUUGUUAGAGAAGAAAGUGCGUGAGAGUAACUGUUCACGUUUCGACGGUAUCUAACCAGAAAGCCACGGCUAACUACGUGCCAGCAGCCGCGGUAAUACGUAGGAGGCAAGCGUUAUCCGGAUUUAUUGGGCGUAAAGGGAACGCAGGCGGUCUUUUAAGUCUGAUGUGAAAGCCUUCGGCUUAACCGGAGUAGUGCAUUGGAAACUGGGAGACUUGAGUGCAGAAGAGGAGAGUGGAACUCCAUGUGUAGCGGUGAAAUGCGUAGAUAUAUGGAAGAACACCAGUGGCGAAAGCGGCUCUCUGGUCUGUAACUGACGCUGAGGUUCGAAAGCGUGGGUAGCAAACAGGAUUAG